rnacentral:rRNA from 1 species
ACCCGCACAAGCGGUGGAUGAUGUGGAUUAAUUCGAUGCAACGCGAAAACCUUACCUACCCUUGACAUGUCCGGAAUCCUGCAGAGAUGCGGGAGUGCCGAAAGGGAAUCGGAACACAGGUGCUGCAUGGCUGUCGUCAGCUCGUGUCGUGAGAUGUUGGGUUAAGUCCCGCAACGAGCGCAACCCUUAUCAUUAGUUGCUACGCAAGGGCACUCUAAUGAGACUGCCGGUGACAAACCGGAGGAAGGUGGGGAUGACGUCAAGUCCUCAUGGCCCUUAUGGGUAGGGCUUCACACGUCAUACAAUGGUCGGUACAGAGGGUUGCCAAGCCGCGAGGUGGAGCCAAUCCCAGAAAGCCGAUCGUAGUCCGGAUUGUUCUCUGCAACUCGAGAGCAUGAAGUCGGAAUCGCUAGUAAUCGCGGAUCAGCAUGUCGCGGUGAAUACGUUCCCGGGUCUU